GACCGCGAAUGUACUUAAAUUGGGAGGGAGGGAGUAUAUAUUUUCCUUCUCUCGCUACAGCCAAAUAAAAUUCCCAGUUCCUGCCACGAAAUCAAAUUCUUCAGUUUCCACUGAAUUUUUUUUUGGUGAAUUUGGUGUAUGUUGUGAAAUAACGAUGUUGUCUCUGCAAAGCGAUCCUCGGCAACAGUUAUUGAUCUCUAGGGUUUCACAUGAUGGCGUUAGUGUUGGCGAUCCGAGGACUGAUUCGUCUUUUCCCUUUUACUCCGAGUCAUCGUCUUUGUCCAACGUUAACAACAUCAAGUCCGAAUUGUCUCGAGAAGUUGAUGAGGACACACUUUUAACUCUUGCUCAUCAGAACUACAAAGGUGGAAACUAUAAACUGGCUCUAGAGCAUAGCAAGGCAGUUUAUGAGAGAAAUCCCCAACGCACUGAUAAUCUCCUUCUUUUGGGGGCCAUAUAUUAUCAAUUGCAUGAUUUUGAUAUGUGCAUUGCAAAAAAUGAAGAAGCCAUCCGCGUUAACCCACACUUUGCUGAGUGCUAUGGAAAUAUGGCAAAUGCUUGGAAGGAAAAAGACAAUAUCGAUGUUGCAAUACGCUAUUAUUUGAUUGCAAUAGAGCUGCGUCCCAAUUUUGCUGAUGCUUGGUCAAAUUUAGCUGGUGCAUAUAUGAGGAAAGGAAGGUUGAGUGAGGCCGCCCAAUGUUGUCGUCAGGCUCUAGCUUUAAAUCCUCGCCUGGUUGACGCACAUAGCAAUCUUGGGAAUCUGAUGAAAGCACAAGGUUUGGUGCAAGAGGCAUACAAUUGUUAUGUGGAGGCACUACGCAUACAACCUACAUUUGCCGUUGCAUGGUCCAAUCUUGCUAGCCUCUUGAUGGAUGCUGGUGAUCUUAACAGGGCAUUGCAGUACUACAAGGAAGCUGUCAAGCUAAAACCAAAUUUUUCAGAUGCAUAUUUGAACCUGGGAAAUGUGUACAAGGCUCUGGGAAUGCCACAGGAGGCCAUUAUGUGUUACCAGCGUGCUCUCCUUGUGCGACCAGACUAUGCUAUGGCUUUUGGCAACUUAGCUACUGUGUACUACGAACAAGGUAACCUGGAAAUGGCCAUGCUUAAUUACAAGAGAGCUAUUACCUGUGAUGCUGGAUUCUUGGAGGCAUAUAACAAUCUGGGUAAUGCUCUAAAAGACGCUGGUAGGGUUGAGGAAGCAAUUCACUGCUAUCGUCAAUGCCUCUCACUUCAACCUAAUCAUCCUCAAGCACUGACUAAUCUUGGAAACAUUUAUAUGGAGUGGAACAUGAUGAGUGCCGCUGCACAGUGUUACAAGGCAACUCUAGCUGUGACAACUGGGCUUUCAGCUCCUUUUAACAAUUUAGCCAUAAUAUACAAGCAGCAGGGUAACUAUGCAGAUGCCAUAUCUUGCUACAAUGAGGUGCUCAGGAUUGACCCCUUGGCAGCUGAUGGACUAGUCAAUAGAGGUAACACGUACAAGGAGAUUGGUAGAGUUAAUGAAGCUAUUCAGGACUAUAUGCGAGCUAUUACCAUUAGACCAAAUAUGGCAGAGGCUCAUGCAAAUUUGGCGUCAUCUUAUAAGGACAGUGGCAAUGUGGAAGCAGCUGUAAAAAGCUAUAGGCAAGCUUUAAUGCUACGUCCCGACUUCCCAGAAGCAACUUGUAAUCUUCUUCACACGUUACAGUGUAUCUGUGAUUGGGAUGAUCGAGAGAAGAUGUUUAUUGAAGUUGAGGGGAUCCUGAGAAGACAGAUUAAGAUGUCAGUUAUCCCGAGUGUACAGCCUUUCCAUGCAAUUGCUUACCCUCUCGAUCCACUGCUAGCUCUAGAAAUCAGUUGCAAGUAUGCCCAGCACUGCUCUGUAAUUGCAGCUCGCUUCUCACUUCCUCCUUUCAGUCAUCCUCCUCCAUUGCCAAUAAAGGGUGGUUGCAGGAGUGGUCGGCUUAGGGUUGGAUAUGUGAGCAGUGAUUUUGGCAACCACCCACUAUCACAUCUGAUGGGUUCGGUGUUCGGCAUGCACGACAGAGAAAAUGUUGAGGUGUUCUGCUAUGCUUUGAGUCCAAAUGAUGGCACUGAGUGGAGGCUCCGCAUUCAGUCAGAAGUAGAGCAUUUUGUUGAUGUAUCGUCCUUGACAUCUGAUGUGAUAGCUAGGAUGAUCAAUGAGGAUCAAAUACAGAUCCUGAUCAAUCUUAAUGGUUAUACUAAGGGAGCCCGAAAUGAGAUCUUUGCAAUGCAGCCUGCUCCCAUCCAGGUUUCAUAUAUGGGGUUCCCUGGAACCACUGGAGCUAACUAUAUACAUUAUUUGGUUACUGAUGAGUUUGUAUCACCCAUGCGGUACUCACAUAUUUACUCAGAGAAGCUUGUCCAUCUCCCUCACUGUUAUUUUGUCAAUGAUUAUAAGCAAAAAAACUGUGACGUGUUAGAUCCAAGCUGCCAACCCAGGCGCUCAGAUUAUGGGCUGCCAGAGGACAAAUUCAUUUUUGCUUGUUUUAAUCAGCUCUACAAGAUGGAUCCUGAGAUAUUUAAGACAUGGUGCAAUAUUCUUAAGCGUGUACCAAACAGUGCUCUUUGGCUGCUCAGAUUUCCAGCUGCAGGGGAAAUGAGGGUUCGCGCACAUGCUGCUGCGCAAGGUGUGCAGCCAGACCAAAUUAUUUUCACAGAUGUUGCGAUGAAACAAGAGCACAUCAGACGCAGCUCCUUGGCAGAUCUUUGCCUCGACACGCCACUUUGCAAUGCACAUACCACUGGAACGGAUGUACUUUGGGCUGGUCUACCUAUGGUCACCCUUCCCCUUGAGAAAAUGGCAACUAGAGUUGCUGGUUCGUUGUGUUUGGCCACAGGGGUUGGUGAGGAGAUGGUUGUUAGCAGUAUGAAGGAGUAUGAGGAGAAAGCAGUUUCACUGGCACUGAAUCGUCCCAAGCUCCAAGAUCUCACCAAUAGACUCAAGGCUGUGCGCCUGGGUUGCCCUCUGUUUGACACAGGACGCUGGGUACGGAACCUGGAGCGGUCUUAUUUUAAGAUGUGGAAUCUCUAUUGCUCUGGCCAACAUCCUCAGCCGUUCAAAGUGACAGAGAAUGACAUGGAAUUUCCUUAUGACCGCUAGAUGUAAAAAAGUAAUCUAAACGGGAUUGUAGAUAAAACAAAGAAAUGUGAAGAGCUAUUUAUUCUACAGGAGCUUCCUUGCUUUGCUCCCUUGGUGACCUGAGCCGUAACCUCAAAAUUGGAGGUGGAGGGUGCUUACCACUUAGCAACCCUCUCUUCUCCUAUCUUAUCUUGUGAUGUUGAGUUAUUAGUAGUAAUUAGAAUUUCCAUUCUUGCUGUCCAAAAGCCUCCAGCUUGCCCUUCUUCCAAGGUAAAGACGCAAUUACAUGACUGCACUAUGCCUUUGCCUAGAAAGACCCAAAAUGGUGAAGCAAUUACCCAAUGGUUCCAAAGAAAGGAUCAGCAUUCAGCUAUUCCCACUUGGGGUAUUCAGUUUGCAUUUUUGCGGAGGUGAAUGGUUCGUCUUGAUUGUAUUUGUUUAUCUAUAAGCAUUUGUUGAUGUUUACAACUUGACUUUAUGCAGGCCUUAGCUGAUGGAUGACCCUAGUAAAGUCAUUGAACAGCGAUUAAUUUGUUAGUUGAAAGAUGGUAGUGAGGGAGGUACACGUUUUCUCGAGAAUAUGGAAGUAAAGUGCGUGUGAAGCUUGUUAAUUGAAAUUAAAAGAUGCAGGUAUAGUAGUGACUAAAAUAAAACAGAAUGAUGCUUUUGGAUUGUAAUUUAGAAGGGCUUGGCAGAUCUUAGAUUUAGUCUUGUAAUGGCAGAUCUCAUAUUUAAGUUCUUGAAUAGCGAGGGUUAUGCGUAAACAAUAGUUUUUCCACAAA